rnacentral:rRNA from 1 species
GAAGAGGGAAACAACCCAGACCGCCAGCUAAGGUCCCAAAGUCAUGGUUAAGUGGGAAACGAUGUGGGAAGGCCCAGACAGCCAGGAUGUUGGCUUAGAAGCAGCCAUCAUUUAAAGAAAGCGUAAUAGCUCACUGGUCGAGUCGGCCUGCGCGGAAGAUGUAACGGGGCUAAACCAUGCACCGAAGCUGCGGCAGCGACACUAUGUGUUGUUGGGUAGGGGAGCGUUCUGUAAGCCUGUGAAGGUGUGCUGUGAGGCAUGCUGGAGGUAUCAGAAGUGCGAAUGCUGACAUAAGUAACGAUAAAGCGGGUGAAAAGCCCGCUCGCCGGAAGACCAAGGGUUCCUGUCCAACGUUAAUCGGGGCAGGGUGAGUCGACCCCUAAGGCGAGGCCGAAAGGCGUAGUCGAUGGGAAACAGGUUAAUAUUCCUGUACUUGGUGUUACUGCGAAGGGGGGACGGAGAAGGCUAUGUUGGCCGGGCGACGGUUGUCCCGGUUUAAGCGUGUAGGCUGGUUUUCCAGGCAAAUCCGGAAAAUCAAGGCUGAGGCGUGAUGACGAGGCACUACGGUGCUGAAGCAACAAAUGCCCUGCUUCCAGGAAAAGCCUCUAAGCAUCAGGUAACAUCAAAUCGUACCCCAAACCGACACAGGUGGUCAGGUAGAGAAUACCAAGGCGCUUGAGAGAACUCGGGUGAAGGAACUAGGCAAAAUGGUGCCGUAACUUCGGGAGAAGGCACGCUGAUAUGUAGGUGAAGUCCCUCGCGGAUGGAGCUGAAAUCAGUCGAAGAUACCAGCUGGCUGCAACUGUUUAUUAAAAACACAGCACUGUGCAAACACGAAAGUGGACGUAUACGGUGUGACGCCUGCCCGGUGCCGGAAGGUUAAUUGAUGGGGUUAGCGGUAACGCGAAGCUCUUGAUCGAAGCCCCGGUAAACGGCGGCCGUAACUAUAACGGUCCUAAGGUAGCGAAAUUCCUUGUCGGGUAAGUUCCGACCUGCACGAAUGGCGUAAUGAUGGCCAGGCUGUCUCCACCCGAGACUCAGUGAAAUUGAACUCGCUGUGAAGAUGCAGUGUACCCGCGGCAAGACGGAAAGACCCCGUGAACCUUUACUAUAGCUUGACACUGAACAUUGAGCCUUGAUGUGUAGGAUAGGUGGGAGGCUUUGAAGUGUGG